GGCCUAACACAUGCAAGUCGAGCGGAUGAGAAGAGCUUGCUCUUCGAUUCAGCGGCGGACGGGUGAGUAAUGCCUAGGAAUCUGCCUGGUAGUGGGGGACAACGUUUCGAAAGGAACGCUAAUACCGCAUACGUCCUACGGGAGAAAGCAGGGGACCUUCGGGCCUUGCGCUAUCAGAUGAGCCUAGGUCGGAUUAGCUAGUUGGUGAGGUAAUGGCUCACCAAGGCGACGAUCCGUAACUGGUCUGAGAGGAUGAUCAGUCACACUGGAACUGAGACACGGUCCAGACUCCUACGGGAGGCAGCAGUGGGGAAUAUUGGACAAUGGGCGAAAGCCUGAUCCAGCCAUGCCGCGUGUGUGAAGAAGGUCUUCGGAUUGUAAAGCACUUUAAGUUGGGAGGAAGGGCAGUAAGCUAAUACCUUGCUGUUUUGACGUUACCGACAGAAUAAG
rnacentral:rRNA from 1 species